rnacentral:rRNA from 1 species
AACGAACGCUGGCGGCAUGCCUAACACAUGCAAGUCGAACGGGCCCUUCGGGCGUAGUGGCGCACGGUGAGUAACACGUGGGUGACCUGCCCUCAGCUCUGGGAUAAGCCUGGGAAACCGGGUCUAAUACUGGAUAUGACUCCAUGACGCAUGUUGUGGGGUGGAAAGCCUUGUGCGGCUGAGGACGGGCCCGCGGCCUAUCAGCUUGUU